AAUUCCAGCUCCAAUAGUGUAUAUUAGAGUUGUUGCAGUUAAAAAGCUCGUAGUUGGAUUUCUGCUGUGGUCAUCCGGUACCGCCCGUACGGGUGCGCACCUGGUUUGGCUGCGGCUUUCUUCCUGUAGCCGUCCGCGCUUAAUUGCGUGUGUUGUGUUGCGGAACUUUUACUUUGAGAAAAAUAGAGUGUUUCAAGCAGGCUUGUCGCCCUGAAUACUUCAGCAUGGAAUAAUAGGAUAGGACCUUGGUUCUAUUUUGUUGGUUUCUAGGACCAAGGUAAUGAUUAAUAGGGACAGUUGGGGGCAUUCGUAUUUAACUGUCGGAGGUGAAAUUCUUAGAUUUGUUAAAGACGAACUACUGCGAAAGCAUUUGCCAAGGAUGUUUUCAUUAAUCAAGAACGACAGUAGGGGGUUUGAAGACGAUUAGAUACCGUCGUAAUCUCUACCAUAAACUAUGCCGACUAGAGAUAGGGAAACGCCUACCUUGGCUUCUCCUG
rnacentral:rRNA from 1 species